UGUCCUAUCUACUGGUGAUCACAGCAGUCAUCGUCGGCCUGUGUGUGGCGAGGUCACGGCUACGGCGCGGUGCACAACGGUUCCUCGACCCUGCAUAUAUAAAGGGACCAUCCGCUUGUGUGAUAUUCAGUUUGGCUGCAGUGCGCAACGACUUCACAUCAUUUUGCACGCUACGUUAUUUACGCAGUUACAUUCCGCUGGCUCGAACAACGCGGGGUCGGACAGCGGGGCCAAGCUACGUUUCUCAGGAGACGAGGACUACCUCGCCGCUCUUGGUUCAAAGAACGGGAGGACGGACAGCCGGGCCAAGUUCUGUUUCCUAGGAGACAAG